AUUUAUCCCACUGCAUUAGACACAUAACAAAUUUUUGUUAAUGUACAUCCGAGUAACUAACACAUUGUGGAAAUGCUGGUGGUGGCAUUGUCAGCAUGACCUUUUCAUUGUAUGAUCAAUUCAGGUUUAGUAAUGCCCCUUAAGAACUCAAAGUUGCCCUAUAAUAAGUAAAAUAGGUAAAAAUGGUCUUAUGCCACCAUACAGUGUCUUUCUUAUCAAAUCCUUCUAGGACCAUGGAACUGGAACAUUCACAUCCAUUGUUCCCAUUGUGCACAUGGCAGAGACCCACGGACUCAGAGGGGAUCGUAGGUGUCUGGCUUAGCUUGGCCCUCAGAGGCAAGCACAUUGCCUCAUGGAUCAUGCAACAGGUACUCGAAGCGUGAAGUGUGUUCUCUGAAAGGACAGCAGAGGCAACAACAACAGAGCCUUACAUUUAUAUGCUGCUGACAAACACGAGCUCAUUUGAUCCUCAUAAAAUGUGUGUGAGGCCAGGCAAGAGGAGAAAAUUGCCAAGCCUUAUUGAUGCACAAGCACCAGUGUUUCUGUUCCAAUCCCAUGGUGCCUACAUCGUUGAACUCUGGUCCUGGAUGAUCCCACGUGCAGACACCACUUUGUGGCCAAGCUCUUAUUGCCCCAGGUCUAUAAAAAGCCUGAGGUCUUGCCUAUGCUUGGUUUACAAGCUCUGUUCACACUUACAUAGUCGGCCACUGUUGCUCAUGUUACAGAACCAUGUCAAGGCGGCUAGACAGCUGAUUUGUAGACGUCUCCAGACCCAACCACGUAUUGUGCUGGAAUCCACCUCUCCUGUAAAGCCUAUGGCCUUAUGCUCAUCGUGGAUCACCAGCCUGGACUUCCCUCUCCUUCCUGCAAAUAUAGAUCCGAUCUUGCAACUUAGCGUCUUACCGAGGAGGCUGAUGACCAGGAAGCCUGCUCACUGCAGAGAACCCCGGAGGGCUCAGAGCCGGAAGAGCCAGUUACUUCAGAAGGUUAUGGAAGGAGAAGGUCGCAGAGGAGGCACCGCCUGGGAGACUGUAUAGGGGAAGGUGGAUCCCCGUGCCCCUUGCUUCACCCUAAAGGAAAGCCUGGCUUUGCUCUCUGGAAGCCCUGAGAGACGGGGGACAUGCACGUGAGGAGAGCAGGGUGGGAGCUGGGGGUGAACUAGGCGUCCACACGCUGCGCCCACAGCCCCGUCCCCCCUCCCGACAGCUGCAGCCGGGGCCCCUGGGCCGGAGGUGCACAGGGUCCCUGACUGUGGGAACCUCCCCGAAAGCCCAUGGGCCACCCUCGCACCUAUGCUGACGUGAUUCGGGGUCUGACAGACGCUUCCGGAGCAGCCGGUCUUCCCGUGUGGAUGUUGGGGAGGAAAAGUGAGUCCGUGUGGCCCGGGGUUGGGGGGGCCCGAGCCCCUCGCGCACGCGGCAGGCCGCGGUGUCCCACUCACCCUCUGGGCCCUGCCAGCCCGGCCUGCCCUCCUCCUCCAAGUUCCUGCUUUGUUCCAGUUUCCUCAAGACCCCGAACCUCUCGCUUUGAGUCCAUGCUCACCGACGUGCUUGCAGAGUCAUCUGGGUUUCUAACCAAGCCUUCCUUUCCUUUUUAGAAAAGAUCCUUUGUAAUUAAAUCCUUAGAACUUGGAACAGGUCAGAAGACCUGACCAGGCUGGGGUAGUGUGGGGCGGAAGUGAGGACUCUGAGUGGAGUGAGCAAGAGGAGCAAGAGACGUGGUUUCAGGAACGCCAGCGUGAGCUCUGACGGGACAUCCGUGCACAUGGUGUGUGCUAAUGAGUAUACAAGUGCAAGCUCUUCCAGGUGUGUGCGUGGCCCUCCGUGCCAGCGUGGCUCAUGCCUUGCCUGCUGAUCCAGAACUUGGCUCAUGAGCUGGAUCUCUACGUUGGUGCAUGUGUACGCUAGCAAGUGGAUAUGAUCUGAGUGGUACCUCCUUCGAUGUGUCCUACUUGUGCAGUGCACAACUGGAACUAUGUACUGGAAGAGGUGGCUGGUUUUUUAACAUAUCCCAGUAGGAGUGUGAACAAGCGAGCUUUGGGUAUACUAAGUUCGGUACUUAGAAGAUCAUACGUUAGAAAGGAAAACUUGCCUAACAUGUCUCUUCAGUGGCAGCAGAUCAUGGGUGGGUCUGGCGGCUUCUAAAAAGCAUGUGGGGCUCUUCUGUCUCUACGUGUAUAUCUUUGCGGUGUAUAUUUUCCCAAUUGUGUUUACAGGUUUUCAGAACUGGACGAUCCCAGACACACUUACCCAGGAACAGCCCAUACUUCGUACUUUAAGUCACAGCAAUCGGAGAAGGCCCGUCACCUCUAACAAAGAGCAUGGCUGAUACCCUGGCACCAUGGCACCUUGCCCAGCCUCCCCGGCUGAGAUAACUCAGUCGAGGGCGUUACUGCUCAGCGCAUUUCCCUCGGGGCCACUCACGGGGGCCACACCUCUCAGGUGUAGUCGGUUGCCUUCCAAACUGUCACGCUGGAACCGUAAAUAGUUAAUGACAUACGCCAUCCCAUAUGCUAGUCAAGUCAGUGUGACUUUAAUUAUUUCUCCUGGGAUGAGCUCAAGGGUUCAGAGAUUCUCAGAAAUUGUGGAAUAAGACUGUGACUUAAUAUGCAGCCAGACAGGGCGUGAUGGAUCCCCAGUAGGUUUAGCAGCUGUGGCCCGUCCACGGCGGAGCAGGGCUGUACGCAGAUGUCUCCAUGGUGACCUCCAUAACUCAGAGGGUGUGGGGACUUAGGGGUUCCCAGGAGAACCCUGCGGUUUCUCUCCUAAGGCCCCUGUAACCUGGCUCUCACAGGCUUUCAAAUAUAAGUGGCACCAGUUAAGACUUCUAAAAACCUGGUUCUCUGGUGUGCACACGCCGAGGUUUUGUGAACUUUAGGGAGGAGCUUCGGUACACGAGUGCACGUACGUGCACGUGUUAUGAAAAUGUGAGGGGAGCUUUGCAAUGUUUGCUUUAAUGUCUCACAAGGCAUAACAUGACCCAUGUGUUCCAUCUUAUCUACAUUUCCUAGGGUUGUAACUGUUUCUGUGGUAUCCAGUUCGUUUCCAAAAGUUCAAAUUUUUUUUCUUUUUCUGCUUUAUUACUUUCUUGUAAUAAUAGUCUUGUCUUUAAUGUCUCAAUUUUAUUAAUAACUGAUUCAUUUAAUAAGAAUUAUCCAACACUCCAUGUAUAGAAUCAUGCUUUAUGGCUAGACCUCAUUUAUGAAAAAAUGAUAUGGAAGGAGAAUUAAUUUUGAUUGAAGGUAUGAUAUUUAGUCCUUGUGCAGUUUCUCAUUUAAAAUCUGUACCUUAAAAAAUUGAAGGGUCAAAAAAAUAAAAAAAUAAAAAAAUAAAAAAAUAAAAAAUUG
rnacentral:lncRNA from 12 species